ensembl:rRNA 5S_rRNA 5S ribosomal RNA
GUCUAUGGCCGUGCUACCCUGAACACGCCCGAUCUCAUCUGAUAUUGGAAGCUAAGCAGGGUCGGGCCUGGUUAGUACAUAAUUAGGAGUUAGUACUUGGAUGGGAGACCACCUAGGAAUACCAAGUGCUGUAGGCU